UACCAUGCAAGUCGAGCGGUAGCACAGGGGAGCUUGCUCCCUGGGUGACGAGCGGCGGACGGGUGAGUAAUGUCUGGGAAACUGCCUGAUGGAGGGGGAUAACUACUGGAAACGGUAGCUAAUACCGCAUAACGUCGCAAGACCAAAGAGGGGGACCUUCGGGCCUCUUGCCAUCAGAUGUGCCCAGAUGGGAUUAGCUAGUAGGUGGGGUAAUGGCUCACCUAGGCGACGAUCCCUAGCUGGUCUGAGAGGAUGACCAGCCACACUGGAACUGAGACACGGUCCAGACUCCUACGGGAGGCAGCAGUGGGGAAUAUUGCACAAUGGGCGCAAGCCUGAUGCAGCCAUGCCGCGUGUGUGAAGAAGGCCUUCGGGUUGUAAAGCACUUUCAGCGAGGAGGAAGGUGGUGAGCUUAAUACGCUCAUCAAUUGACGUUACUCGCAGAAGAAGCACCGGCUAACU
rnacentral:rRNA from 1 species